GUCUCUGUGGCGCAAUUGGCUAGCGCGUUUGGUUGUUAACCGGAAAGUUGGUGAUUCCAGCCCACCCAGGGACA
rnacentral:tRNA from 1 species